AAUUAGUUAAAACUUUCAACAACGGAUCUCUUGGCUCUGGCAUCGAUGAAGAACGCAGCGAAAUGCGAUAAGUAAUGUGAAUUGCAGAAUCUAGUGAAUCAUCGAAUCUUUGAACGCACAUUGCGCCCCUUGGUAUUCCGAGGGGCAUGCCUGUUCGAGCGUC
rnacentral:rRNA from 1 species